rnacentral:lncRNA from 1 species
UUGGAAUCUCUUGAAUGCAAACUUCUUUAUUAGAUUUGCCUAUUGUAAAAAAGACAACAAAGUUAAAGCACUAUAUAAUGAAGAAAUUACCAUGAAAAAAUAAAAUUUAAAAUUUUCAUUAACUUGUAAAUAGUUAUUCGUUAGGAGAAUUGAAUACAAUUUUUUUGUGAAAACAAUCUACGGUGGCGUGGUACGACACUAGCCAGUUCAUUCCCAAGAUUACAUCAAAGUUCCCCGUGUUAAUCUUUAUCAAGUCCACACUCAAUUUUCCAUCUGCUAUAUCUAUGAUAUAACAUUUAUAUAUAACAUUUCCUAGUAGUGUCCUACUUCCAAUAAUAGAUACAAACAACAUAAAAUCAAAUCUUUCCGGUGAUAUAUUUAAGUUUUGUGUAAAAAUGUGUGAGACAAACGAAUGUGAAGCACCAAUAUCAAUCAAAACAUGUGCAAUUGUGAACUAACCAGUUCCAGCUCUAUUAGUAACUUAUAAUUAUUUUUAAAGUUUUCUAAUUUUUCACAAAAAUACAAAAUUAUACAUCAUUAAAGCUCAAUUUACUGUAACAGAGAGAAAGAUGAGGGAUUCUUACCUACAUCGGUGUUUCGAGACAUCAAGCUGUCUAUUACGCUUCCUAACGGGUACCGAGUUCCUUAAAUUUUUUUUUUAUAGAAUUCAAAACACUCGUUAGAUACAUAAAAAUACUCCAAAAAAUUAAAAAUUGAUGUCCAAAACUCAUUCCGACUAAUUUUGGGGUUCUGGCAUGACGUUGCCGUCGUGUUCCAGCGCCCACGGCGACGGUUCGCUUCGGCCUGACUAGUUUUGGUUGUAUCCUUGUAGAAAAAUAUGUUAAGGGCCUCGAUUGGCCAGAAAAUCACAAAACAAUCGAAUCUACCGGCAUGGAGGACCUCUGGGUGCAGCGGCUCCACCGAUUCUCCUUCGCAGUUGAGAUUCUUUCUUCGGCUACCCUGCACCGAAAAAGACGGUGAACACAAUGAUUGAAAGAUCACAUGAAAUGAAAAUCGAGAAGGGACUCAUAGAGGGAUUUUGAAGUUUUAGUCGUCGCGGCUCCGCCAAGUUUUGCCCACGAUUUCCAACUCACCCGCCAUCUCUCUUACUCCAAUUUAGCCACAAGGGUACUCGGAAUCAAAUUCCAAGCGGAUAGGGAGAAUUUUUAUCUUUUUUGGCGGUCCGUGGUGGCUCUGGUGCAGCGGCUGUGCGACGGAUUUGCAGUCGACCUCCUUCUCUAACAUCUAGUUCUUCUUCUCCAGCAGGGACUGACAGUUAGAGUUCAGAUUCUCGUGUGAUGCGAAAUAUUUUUAACCAUCCCGCGUUGAUUUGGAUCGUCCAUCGCGAUCGAUCCCGUUCGUCCGAUCGCGCCGAAUGAGGAAACGAAUUUGAACCGUUCAUCGUGAUCAAUAUCGAUUGUCUGGUCGCACCUCACGAAAAAAUAAAUCCGGACCGUCCACACGCGCGUGAUCGCUCUUGGACCGUCCAAUUGCAAGGCACACAGAUCACCAACGUGACCUCCCGCGUAGCACCGACGUCAGCGCACCUUACCACGUGGCGCGUUCGGGUUCGUCGAGACUACUAACUGGGCGGUCCUACGUGACCGAACUUUUUCUAUUUGCACUUUGACACUCUGUUUCUAAUUUUUCUUUCAAAAACAUUUCUAAACCCAUGUUUUCACCAAUUUUUCUUAAAAUUGUUUUUAAUAUUAUUUUUAAUUAAUUUUUUCUCAAAAUUUCAAUUAAAUAAAAAUAAAAUAAAUUAAUCAAUUAUAUUAAAUUAAUAAUUAAAAAAUAAAAACUUUAUCUCGGGUCGUUCUUCAAGCCUGGGUAUUACACAUACUCUGCCAUUACCAUACAACACUACAUCAAUGAACCACCUUGUAAGUUAUCUAAACGAGUCCUUAAAGAUUGAAUGGUAACGAAUAACAGAAAAAUAGUUAAAUCAAUUCUAAAGCAGGAAGUGCAAGAAUAUUUACCUGUAAAUUUUGAUUGGAAAGGCAACCGUGAACUAAAUCCAAUCUUCGUUUCUCUCUUGUGCCUCCUUUUGUGUUGUGAUAGUUUUUUCGUGGUUCUCAUCUCUAUAUUUCUUAAACAUAUGACUUGUAUUAGAGCUAGUUGGGAUCCAUGGGAAUUUUUGACAGUACUCGAUUCCAAGAAUCCAAGAAAAUGAAGUGAUGAAGCAAGUACAAGAUAUGGACAGGAGGUUGGAUUAGGAUAUGGGAAAUUUGAAGCAAAAACUUCGAGGAAUGAAACAAGAAUUAGGAGACAUGAAAAAAUUAUUGGCAAUGUUAGUAACACAAUGGACAACCGAACCUGAAGGAUGAUUGGAUCAUAGCAACAAAAAAAAAACAAGAAAAGUAGAAUGAGUUAAACAAGGAGAUUAAGAGUAAAGCUGGAUUUUUCAUGAUUUGAUGGGGAACAUUUUAAAGGCUGGCGAUACAAGGUGGAAAGAUACUUUGAAAUUGAUAAAAACAGCGUAGAUUUAAAGGUAAAAUUGGUUUCUUUAUUUUUGGAAGAUGGUGCACUUGAGUGGCAUCAGACCUUAACGGAAAAAUAAAGGGGUCAUGGCUUAGUUGGAAAGAAUAUAUUGAAAGCUUGGAAGUCAUCUUUGGAGAAACUGCAUACAACGACCCCAUUUAGAGCUAACCAUGUUGAGGCAGGAAGAAUCUAUAGAAAAAUACUUCAAGCAAUUUAAUAUGUUAGUGAGCCGAGUUGACCUCAUUAACGGAUAAUAAAUCAGCUUUUUCAUCAUAGGAUAGAAAAACAGAGUUGAAAGUGCUUGUGAGAGCUCCUAGCACCUUACAACAAGAACAGAGGGUUGGAAAAUUGCAAGAAUUUCUGGUUGCCAUGGACUGAAGCCUUAAAGCCUCCAUGACCAGAUACCUAUCAUAUAAAGAACAUGUUAAGUGGAGACAACCUAGUUCCACCUAUAAGAUACUUAGUACCUGGUCCCUCAUAUAAACAUUAUCCUAUAAAAAAAAAUCAGUCCCAACCCAAACCGACUGCCACUCAAGCAAAGGCCUUUAAAACAACCCACAACUAACCAAAAUUUUCAACCAACACAAAAAGCACAACUGGAUUAUUACCCACCACCCCAAAUACCAGAACUUUGAAGUUAAGCCCUCAUGCAUUGGGGGAAAAAUACUUAAAAGGAGUCGGCUACUUAUGUGAUGAGAAAUACUAUGUGGGCCACAAAUGCAAGAAUUAAAAACUGUAGAAACAGUACAUGAAGAGAAGAAGAAGAAUCAGGGAACAAUCAGAACCAGAAGGGAUAAAAGAGGCAAAAAAAAAAAGAUAAGAUAAGCAACCAUACACCUCCAUGCAUACCAUAAUGGGGAUUUACAGGCUGAAAAUUCAAUAAGCUCCAUGCGAGUUAAAGGAAGGAUAGGGAGAAGGGAAAUUCACAUGUUAAUUGAUUCAGGCAGCAGUAACAAUUUCCUUGAGGUUGCAGUUGCUAAGGAAUUAACAUAAUGUGGUCACCACCAAGCCAAUGUUAAUUCAAGUAGCCAGUGGAUACAUUAUACAAUGCAGACAAUACAACAAAGACCUAUAGUAGAGUAUGCAAGGAGAGAAGUAUCAGGCAACUUCUUUUAUUGUACCACUCGGAGGAGACAAAGCUGUGUUAGAAAUCAGUGAUUAACCAAACUGGAUGAUAUAGUUUGUAUCUCUAAGCAGCUAACAAUGAUACAUAAGAAAGAAGAACAGUGGGAAAGGCUUGAAGGAGAAAAGGAAACAACAAUCAAACAGGUCUUUGAAGUAAAGAUGAUGAAAUUAAUAAGAGGUCUACUAGCUCAGUUAUGGAGCAUUAAAACCAAUUUCACCACUGGCAGACUCGCCUAUGAAAUCCAUAGUCAACCACAACAUUUUUAACUCAAGUACAGCUGAUCCUCGAUCAGUUUGAAGAUGUUUUUGAUACUUCAACCAUCCUACUUCUACAUUGCAACCAUGACCAUCAAAUCUGACUUACAAAUCCUAACAAGACAGUAAACAUAAGGCCCUACAAGCACUCCAAAGAGUAGAAAGAUGUUAUUGAAUAGAUGGUGAGGAGUACUAGAAUCAGGGAAAGAGAGACUGGAAUAAACGGACAACAUAAAACCUAUUACAUGGGUAGCAAAAGAUUCAUCAGAAAUCAUGGCAGCAUUAAACCCCUUAGUAAUAUGCUCAAAGAAGGACACUUCAAAUGGAAAGAUGCAGCAGUUCGAGCAUUUGAAGAAUUGAAGGACAAAAUUACCAUAGUACCAAUUCUGACGCUUCCCAACUUUAAUGAACAGUUUGUGGUCAAAACAGAUGUCUCUUAAGAAGGCAUGGGAGCACUGUUAACGCAAAAGGCCACACCAUAGCUUUUAUCAGCUAAGCUUUUCAGGUUGAACACUUUUAUUAUUUGUUUAUAAAAAAAGAACUCAUGGCUCUUGUCUUUGCAGUUUCCAAGUGGCAACAUUACUUGAUGGGUAGGAAAUUCCUUGUCCUAACAAAUCGUUAUAACCUUAAAUAUCUAGUCCAGAGAAUGACAACUAUAACACAGCUCCGGUGGCUAUCCAAAUUUAUGGGCUUUGACUAUGAAAUUGCAUAGAAAAGGGAAAAUAAAAUAAGGUGGCAGAUGCACUUUUCUUGGAAACUCUUCAUGGAGAUAAAGCAAACAAAUUUCCCUAUUCACAACAAAAUUAAUUCAAGAGGUUCAACCAAGUUACCAAGAAGAUUUGGUAGUACAAAGAAUCCUGACCAAGCUGAACCAAGAACAAACCGGCCAGUCUUCAUUCAUUAUGCAAGAUGGAAUUUUAUGGAAGAAAGGCUGCCUGGUAAUCAGCUCUAAUAUGGCACUUCUGAACAAAAUCAUCAAUUAGUUUCACACGAAGCCAGUGGUUACUCACUCAGGGGUUCAAGCUACCUUUAAAAGAGUAUCUUUACUCUUUUUAUUGGAGGGGCAUGGAAAAGGACAUGCACAACUGCAUUUGCAAUGUGAUACUGGUCAAUGUUAUGAGACAAUUGCUGCCAUAACCUUUACGGUUACAGCAAUUACAAAUCCUUCGCAGUCCCAAGUCAGGAGUUUCCAUGGACUUUAUUGAGGGGUUUCCUCAAUCACAUGGGAAGAAUUCCAUCGAGGUAGCUGUUGACGGACUCACCAAAUAUUCCAAUUUCAUAGCCCUCACACACCUUUAUUCAGUUCACACAGUGGCCAAGAUCUUCAUGGACACUAUUUUUUGCCUCAUGGGUGUCUAGAAACGAUAGUCAGUGACCGAGACAAUAUUUUCAUCAGCACUUUUUGGCAAGAGUUGUUCUAGCUUCAAGGAGUGGAACUUGCUACUCCCACUGCACACCAUCCAUAAAUGGAUGACCAAACAGAAGUUGUAAAUCGAUGCUUGAAAACAUAUUUGAGGUGUACGUAACAUGAACAGCCUUCCAACCGGUCCCAAUGGCCCCUGAUAGCAUAAUAUUAGUACAAUACCAAUUUUCAACCUCUAUACAAACUGCACCUUUUGAAGCUCUAUACGGGUAUUUGCCACCUGUACAUGUUCCUUAGGUAUCGGACAACUCUAUUACACACAGCUUGGAAACAUUUCUACAAGAAAGGGAAGCUACUCUACAGCUUCUCAAAUUCCAUCUAUCAAGGGGACAACAAAGGAUGAAACAACAAAUUGACAAACGUCGCACAGAUAGGGAAUUUCAACUGGGGGACCACGUCUACUUGAAGAUUCAACUUUACUGACAGUAAACCAUAGCCCUUUGAUCUAAUUCAAAGCUUGACUCCAUUUACAAAGUGUCCCUUCUUAAUCCUCUAUAAAGUGGGCAAGGUUGCUUACAUGUUCCAACUGUCGCAGGGUAGCAAGCGUCACCUCGUAUUCUAUGCGUCAUAACUUAAAACGCAUCCUUGCCAGUUUCCUUAUCACAGAUUAACAAGCCUACGGUGAAGCUCCAAAUCCAAUGGUCAGGCGGUCACAGUCCUACUUAGGAAGAUGCAGGUCACGUAAACCCAAAUUUUCCAGGAUUUUCCCUCAAGGACAAGGGACUGUAAAGAGGAGCUAUGAUAUGUUUAAAAUAGCUAGGGUUUCAAUUUAGGGAUUCGAUUGGGUAAUUAGGAAUUGAAUUUAAAUGAUUGCUACCAUUAGGGAUUAGACCGUAAGAAAUAACAAAAGAAUAGUUAAAUCAGUCGUAAAGCAGGAAGUGCAAGAAUGAAUACCUGUAAAUUCCAAUUGAAAUGGCAACCAUGAACGGAACAUAAUCUUUGUUUUUUCUCUCGCGUCUCUCUCUGUGUUGUAAUAAUACUUUUGUGAGUCUCUCUCUAUGUUUCUUAAAUGUAUUAUUUUAUUUUUUAAAUGCGAACUAACCGGGAAUAUAUUGCGACAAAUUGAUGCAAAUAUGGUGAAUGAAGGAAGCUGUUGUUUUUGAGCGAAGAGUGGGAGCGGUUAUUCUCUAAAGCACCCAUAAGUUGUGAACUUGGAUGAAGUAUUCUUCAGCAG